CGAACUCGGCCCGAGUUGAAGGGCAGCCGGCGUCCGGUUGUGACGCCGCGCCGCUCAGCGAGGGGUCUCCUGCCGCUCACCCGCUCCCUGGUGGCGCGCUCGGCACAUUCCAAGAACUGAUGAGGAAAGAACGCCAAGGAAAACAACAGAACGAAGACGACAUGAGUGGGUACGACUCGGAAAUCGGGGGAGCGCUGAUGGCUGUUUCUCGCUCUACAGGAGAUUGUCAUGUCGUAGCACUCAGAACUCAUCUGGUUGAGGGUCUCCCGACUCAACAAGAAGCUUGAAGCUAUACCACUUCUCCUUCGGUUUUACUGUGAACUCCUGGGAGCCAGAAGCAAAUGCAAACAAUCUUGUUGUUCAGUUUUAUCGGGUUGCGCCAAGUCAAAUGACGAUUUGUAUCUCACAUGAAAUAAAGAGAAACUCUCAGUAGGCAUAUUGCUAUUCAAGUGAACAAUGCUGUUGUUUCUGUCUAGUCAUGGCUACAAGAGAUUGUGUUAUUUCUCCAAAC